rnacentral:misc_RNA from 1 species
UCCUUCUUAUCGAAGGCAGUUUUCGAAGAGUGCAUCCCUUGCGGGAUUAGCAACAUCGAAUAGGGGUUGCGCUCGUUGCGGGACUUAACCCAACAUCUCACGACACGAGCUGACGACAACCAUGCAGCACCUCUGCUCGCUCCCUUGCGGGUCAGUCACUGUUUCCAGCAACAUACCACGAGUAGUUCAAGCCCAGGUAAGGUUCUUCGCGUUGCGUCGAAUUAAACCACAUGCUCCACCGCUUGUGCGGGCCCCCGUCAAUUCCUUUGAGUUUCAACCUUGCGGUCGUACUUCCCAGGUGGAUUACUUAAUGCUUUCGCUCAGAGGCGUGCUGUGUAUCGCACACUUCGAGUAAUCAUCGUUUAGGGCGUGGACUAC